AUGACCUGAGCUGAAGUCGGACACUCAACCAACUAGCCACCCAGGCCCCCCCCCCCACAAAAAAAAAAUUAAAGUCAUAAGACUCAGAUGACAACCUGUAACUCUCAAGUCUAAACUCCUCCAACUUUCCUCCCCAAUGUUCUUUACUUAAAUCUCAUAAUACUCUAUGAGGUCAGUUAGUGUCUGAUGGUAGACAUCCAGAAGAGAGAAAUAUACUUCCAGUCCAAUUUUACUUCCCAAAUUUGUAAAAAGUGAGGCAACAUAUAGUAAUAAAAAUGAUUAUUAUAAUUGCUCCAUACAUUUCCCAGGUACUGUGUUGUGUCCUAUAUGCACAUUUUCUAACUUAACCUUCAAAAGAAGCUUAUAAGUUAAAUGUCUUUAUCAUUAGCAUUUAUGACUAAGGAAUCAGACGUGGCCAGGUUAAUUAAUCUGUGUAUGAUGGCCUAUGAGCUCACAGAAAGUGAGUUUUAGGUCUUCUAUGGCUCCAGACUCCAUGCUUUGAACUAUCUCUAUUUGAUUUCUUUGUAUUUUUAAACCACAAAGGUGCAUACCAAUAUGAAUAAGCACAUGAUUGCUGCUCUAUUCUUAUAAUUUUACUCAUUCUACUAGAUGUGUAUUAAACUAGACAUUCUCUCUUCUCCAUGAAGGCUCACUGGGAUCCAUGGAGGAAAGUUACUCAAACUCCUAUUACAUUUGUAGUAGUGGCAUGGGUCUGAAUUUAUAAAGUGGUUUCCCUGUCCACUAUCACAACCAACUUAGGAAGGUGUGGGGCAAGUGGGGCAAAUGUUAUCAAUUUCAUUUUCUGAGUGGAGACAGUGGGGCUCACAGAAUGUGCUAAGCACCCAAGUUAGUGGAGAGUGCAGUCCCCUGGCUGCAGGGCUACUGGUCUUUCUGCUUUUUUUAGCUUCAAUAAGAUAAAGCAUUUACUUUUAAAAUUAUCACAGCCUAAAUCGUAUGAACCUUUUUUCUUAAAUAUUGGACUGCUUCCACUCCCAGUUCCUUAAAAUAAUCAAACAAUAGCAACAGCAAUCAAAAACCAGUUCAGAAUGCUUUAGACACAGAAUCUCUUAUGUUUAUAUCUUUAUGCACAGAAUGUCUUAUAAACCCAUUUGGUGUGACCUAGCCUGUAAUAGAAUGCUUUCAACAGAGAAACACAUUGGAAGGAGGCCUUAACUGACUACUUAGAAGACCAAAUUCAUGACUUAAAGACCUAAUGAUUCAGUCUCAUCAAUCUUUAUUGCCAAAAAGUGCUUAUUGAUGGCCUCCUGUAUUCUACACCAUCAGCUGGGAACUUAAUAGCUGGCUGACCUUGGACAAGUCAUUUAACUUUUCCAGACCUUAAUUCUAUCAUCUGAAGAAUAGACUUAAUAAUGCUCCUUUCCCUACCUCAAAUAGUUAUUUUAAGAGUAAAACUAAAUCAUGAAUAUCAAGUGGUGAUAUAAACAAAUGAAUUUCUGUAUUUAUAUGAUGCAUUGUUUUUUUAAGCUCCCAAAAAUGUUUGUGAAUAUAUUGGCAAAUGAAGAAUGCACUUUUCUACAUGCCCCAGGAGUAACUGAAAACAAUGUUGGAAAAAUUCCAUCACAGACCUGAGAUGAAUAUUUCUGGGUAACAGGACUUCACAUUUAUCUGAUAUGGCUGUUCUGAACCAGGGGACCAAGGACCUUCACUUUUCCCCUGCAGCAUGCUGGAGGGAGCUCAGCAAUAUUCAGUCCUGGGAUGUGGGAGGCUGCUGCUUUGCAAAUAAAGUGGGUAAUAAAAGUGCCCAGCUCUGGUACUAGAGAAUGAUUUAAUGCAGAAUAUAUACAUGUAAUAUUUUUAAUUAAAGGUGUGGAGUAUA